rnacentral:rRNA from 1 species
CAGGCCUAACACAUGCAAGUCGAACGCCCCGCAAGGGGAGUGGCAGACGGGUGAGUAACACGUGGGAACGUACCCUUUGGUUCGGAACAACCCUGGGAAACUAGGGCUAAUACCGGAUACGCGCGAGAGCGGAAAGGUUUACCGCCGAAGGAUCGGCCCGCGUCUGAUUAGCUAGUUGGUGAGGUAACGGCUCACCAAGGCGACGAUCAGUAGCUGGUCUGAGAGGAUGAUCAGCCACACUGGGACUGAGACACGGCCCAGACUCCUACGGGAGGCAGCAGUGGGGAAUAUUGGACAAUGGGCGAAAGCCUGAUCCAGCAAUGCCGCGUGAGUGAUGAAGGCCUUAGGGUUGUAAAGCUCUUUUACCCGGGAUGAUAAUGACAGUACCGGGAGAAUAAGCUCCGGCUAACUCCGUGCCAGCAGCCGCGGUAAU